UACGUAGGGUGCGAGCGUUAAUCGGAAUUACUGGGCGUAAAGCGUGCGCAGGCGGUGAUGUAAGACAGAUGUGAAAUCCCCGGGCUCAACCUGGGAACUGCAUUUGUGACUGCAUCGCUGGAGUGCGGCAGAGGGGGAUGGAAUUCCACGUGUAGCAGUGAAAUGCGUAGAGAUGUGGAGGAACACCGAUGGCGAAGGCAGCCCCCUGGGUCAACACUGACGCUCAUGCACGAAAGCGUGGGGAGCAAACAGG
rnacentral:rRNA from 1 species